AAGGCCACGCAACUCUGGGAUCCAGCUUCCUGUUGAUUUCUCUGCUAGUGUGCCUUAGGGAUCAUGAAAUUGGAUGAACAGUUGCAGUACUGAAUGUGGAGGAACUUCAUGAGCUGGAAAAUAAUCUUCCCCCAGGUGUCGGGAAUCACGCUGGAGUUGCCCGGCCAGAGGUCCAGGGCUACACCUGAACAGCGUGUCUCAACCGAUGGCCAGAUGCGCACCACGUGUCCCAUGCACUGCUGCGUGCAGCGCCAACCGUGUUUACAGGGAUGGCAGCAACUCUUCUAGGAACACAGUUGUCUACCUGGGUUCCGGACACUGUUGGACAGGUACACAGCGCCCAGAGGAGGAGCCGCGUGUGGGGCAGGCAGUACUCACACGGCUUGCAGAGGGGACCGUCCGGGACUGCUGUCGCUCUCGUUGCUGUUG